rnacentral:lncRNA from 1 species
CAUAUGAUUAAUAGCAUUUUUAUGGGUCUUGCAACCUCAUAUGUAUAUGGUCUAAGUGACAAAAGGUGAGUAGGAUUGUCAAUGAAUCAAGCCAAUUCAAACAAAGUUCGAGACUGAUUCGAUAAUUGAUACCUUGAGCUUAAUUCAUGACCAAGUGAGUCAAACUUGAGCUGAAAAUUAAAUUCAUUAAUUGAAUUAGCUAAACUUGAACUAUAUAUAGUUCGACUUGUUUGUUAAUCCUUAACACUUCAAAAAUAUUUUUAAAUUUAUAUAUUUGAUUUUUUACGUUUAGAAAUUUAUCACAUAUAAUACUUUAAAAAAACUAAGAAGACAUUUAUUCAUCUCAGCAUUUGCAACGAUGUUAUAUAUUUUCAAGAACUAAAUCAUAGUCGAAACCAUUUUUCUAUAUCGUUCAAAAUUUUAGAAUCUGAAACGUAGACCAAUAAUUAUAAGGGAGAAGACAAUUGUUCUUACUUGUUAUAUAAGUUUACACUGGUAUUUUCUUGCAUCACUUCACAUUUGAUUAUAGAAAUGACCAAGAAUCCAAAGAAUAUAUAAGUUGAAGUGAAGAACGACUUUAUAGUUAUUACAUGAAGAAUUUCAUGUUCCUGUGAAAAGAUACUCACUAUUUUAUAGUGGGAAUCCAGAUAAUUCAACGACAGUGUUGGAAUAAGUGUCAAGAGCCAUAGAGAAACCAAACACGAAAUUCGCCUGUUAUCACACGCCACACCACCACAAUAUGCCUUGGUCACAAAAUCAACCAGUGAACCAUCACAAUUGAGUUUAACUUAACCUUCCAUAGGGUCAAUCCAGGCAUACAAUCUUUCAAACAAAUGAACAGCCCUGCUCGAUUUUAAAAUCUGAACAGAAGUAUUAGCAUGGCCAAUACUCACCACCUGCAAGUUCAUCAAACACAGCAACUCCCUCUGCUAAAGCGUUCAGUUUAGCUUCAAAUAAAAUUUAGAAAUUAUAUGCAAUUGUAAUCUUUCGUCAUUUAUACGCAAGGAAAAGUGGCACGUUGCGUUUGCGAUAUUUGGAUUGCCUGCAGUAUCACGGAUUCACACAGAAAGUGAUUCUGGACCCUUGAUUCAUCCACU